CUCCUAAAUGUCCUGGGCUGCACGCGCACUACACUGAUGCAGACAACGAGCUUGAAAUGCUUUGCCUUCCUGCCUCGAAGGGGUUGGGAAAUCUUUGAAGCCUGCAUCGUGAUGGGGAUAGAUGAUUGCAAUUAUUCGCCUUGAACGAGGAAUGUCUAGUAGGCCCGUUUCAUCAGAACGGACCGGAUACGUCCCUGCUUUUUGUACACACCGCCCGUCGUUGCUACCGAUUGGUUUUCUAAUAGAACCUUUUGGAGGUGUGGCGCGAAUCGUGCCCAGCAUGGCGCGCUGCGCUCAAAUCUGGUGAUAUUAGCAAACUAGAGGAAGCAAAAGUCGUAACA
rnacentral:rRNA from 1 species